UACGUAGGGUGCAAGCGUUUGUCCGGAAUUAUUGGGCGUAAAGAGCUCGUAGGCGGUCUGUCGCGUCUGCUGUGAAACUCAGGGCUUAACCCUGAGCUUGCAGUGGGUACGGGCAGACUAGAGUGCGGUAGGGGGAGACUGGAAUUCCUGGUGUAGCGGUGAAAUGCGCAGAUAUCAGGGAGGGAACACCCGGUGGGCGAAAGCGGGUCUCUGGGCCGGUAAC
rnacentral:rRNA from 1 species